rnacentral:rRNA from 1 species
CGAGGAUUGACAGACAGUUACCAUGCCCUUUCGAAAGGAGUCAGGUUUUAAACCUAAUGGCUCUUUCAUGAUUAUAUGAUAGGUGGUGCAUGGCCGUUCUUAGUUCGUGGAGUGAUCUGUCUGCUUAAUUGCGUUUCAAAUUUUUAUUUGAGGACCAGGUUUUGGUUUGGGUAGUGGUCCUACGAUGACUGUGAACUGUCAUGUCUUCGGAUGUGCGACUAUCGGUCUAGGAUCGCAUCUCAGCCCCUGGGACUCUUUUGAACGCAACGGACGUGAUUGCAACCCCUUGUUGAGAUUAGAGGAGUCUCGAUAUUCAUUGGCCAAACUUACCGCUUCGAGCUUGCUCGUGCAGUUUUGUUAGCCGGUGGAUAAACUCGGGGGACUGCUGACUAUAACCAUUUCUCAAAACAGAGGAAGGUUGCGGCAAUAACAGGUCUGUGAUGCCCUCAGAU